rnacentral:lncRNA from 1 species
CCAACAGAUUGCUUUCAGACUCAGCAAAGUGAAGAGCCAUAACUGAAAGGGUUCAUGGGCAAAGCUGUAGUUUGUACAGUGCAGCAAGACACAAGAAGAAGGAAGCCUGGAGUCUUCUCCAUGCUAGCUAUCUUACUCUGCUGGCUUCACUGCAUGUAGAUUGUCUUCCAGCAAUAUGAUUUUUUUCAUCACAUAAUAGUCGCACUCCCAUUUUUUGGCCAAAAAAGGUAUGGUAAAGUAAAGGUUUCCCCUGACAUUAAGUCCAGUCGUGACCGACUCUGGGGGUUGGUGCUCAUCUCCAUUUCUAAGCCGAAGAGCUGGCCACAUGACCUUGGAGGUGUCUACGGACAACGCCGGCUCUUCGGCUUAGAAAUGGAGAUGAGCACCAACCCCCAGAGUCAGACAUGACUGGACUUAACGUCAGGGGAAAACCUUUAUCUUACCUUGAAUUUAAAUAAUGCACAUUUUGUGGGAGGGCGAUUCCUCUGAAAUGUUGCAAAUUUCCUCUGGUUUUCCUUAUGUUUCAUACUGUUUGUGUUUUAAAGUGCAUCUACAUUGCAGUUUGAUGCCAUUUUAACUGCCAUGGCUCAUUGCUAUGAAAUUGUGGAAGCUGUAGUUUUACAAAGUCUUGUCUGCCAAAGAGUGAUAGUGACUUAACAGACUGUGACACUUCCAUAGCAUUGAGCCAUAGUGUCAAACUGCAUUAAUUCUACAGCAUAGAUGCAUCCUUAAAUUACUUUCCCCUAAGUUCAGUUGGAGCCCCAGGUGGCUCAGUGUGUAAAAUGCUGAGCUGCUGAACUUGCAGACCGAAAGGGCCCAGGUUCAACCCUGGGGAGUGGAGUGAGCGCCCGCAGUUAGCUAUAGCUUCUGCCAACCUAGCCGUUCGAAAACAUGCCAAUGUGAGUAGAUCAAUAGGUACCGCUCCGGCGGGAAGGUUAAAGGCGCUCCAUGCAGUCAUGCCAGCCGCAUGACCUUGGAGGUGUCUACGGACAACACCGGCUCUUCGGCUUAGAAAUUGAGAUGAGC